rnacentral:rRNA from 1 species
UGGGGAAUCUUCCGCAAUGGACGAAAGUCUGACGGAGCAACGCCGCGUGAGUGAAGAAGGUUUUCGGAUCGUAAAACUCUGUCUUUUGGGGCGAACGUGAGUAUGGUGAACAAUCAUAGUCAGUGACGGUACCAAAGGAGGAAGCCACGGCUAACUACGUGCCAGCAGCCGCGGUAAUACGUAGGUGGCAAGCGUUGUCCGGAAUUAUUGGGCGUAAAGAGCGCGUAGGCGGGAUAGUCAGUCUGUUGUAAAGUGCGGGGCUCAACCCCGUGAUCGCAAUGGAAACAGCUAUUCUUGAGUGCAGGAGAGGAAAGUGGAAUUCCCAGUGUAGCGGUGAAAUGCGUAGAUAUUGGGAGGAACACCAGUGGCGAAGGCGACUUUCUGGACUGUGUCUGACGCUGAGGCGCGAAAGCCAGGGGGAGCGAACGGGAUUAGAUACCCCGGUAGUCCUGGCCGUAAACGAUGGGUACUAGGUGUGGGAGGUAUCGACCCCUUCCGUGCCGGAGUUAACGCAAUAAGUACCCCGCCUGGGGAGUACGGUCGCAAGACUGAAACUCAAAUGAAUUGACGGGGUCAUAGCUGUUU